GCUUAACACAUGCAAGUCGAGCGAGAAUCGUUUUGCUGAAGGCUUCGGUCUGACGCAGAAUGAGGAAAGCGGCGAACGGAUGAGUAACGCGUGGGCAACCUGGCCUUAAGAAAAGGAUAGCCCCCGGAAACGGGGAGUAAUACUUUAUGAGAAUGAGAGAGGGCAUCCUACUUUCAUUCAAAGCGCAAGCGCUUAAGGAUGGGCCCGCGUAUCAUUAGCUAGUUGGUGAGAUAACAGCCCACCAGGCAACGAUGAUUAGCUGGUCUGAGAGGGCGAACGGCCACAUUGGAACUGAGAGACGGUCCAAACUCCUACGGGAGGCAGCAGUGGGGAAUAUUGCGCAAUGGAGAAGAACUCUGACGCAGCAAUACCGCGUGAGCGAAGAAGGUCUUCGGAUCGUAAAGCUUUGUUAUCAGGGAAGAAGAAAAUGACGGUACCUGAUGAGCAAGUCCCGGCUAACUACGUGCCAGCAGCCGCCGUAAUAC
rnacentral:rRNA from 1 species